AAACAGAUACCAUUACUGUGGCUGCUGGCAACAGAUGCUUACCAGCUAUGGGAUUUGUGGCUUCUGGAUUGGUCUUAUCUUUCCAAAUGAGUUUUCACUGCUCAUAUUAAGUCUCCUCUGGGAAGGUGUGUGUGUGUGUGUGUACACAUAAGUCUGGAGGUCAGUGGACAACUUCAAGCAUCAUUCCCUAGGAGACAUUCACCUUGUUUUUUAAACAGAUCUCUCACUAGCCUGGGACUUGCUGACCCUACUGGGAAGGCUGGCCACUAAGCUCCAGAGAGCUGCCUCUCUUCCUAUCCUGGAGCUGGGAUUACAAGUAUGGUACUCUUGGCCUUUUUAUAUCUGGUCUGGGUGUCUCAUGAUUGUGCAGCAAGCACUUUACAACCAAGCCAUCUCCCCAGCCUUGCCCUGAGAGGCCUUUUUUUUUUUUAUCUCUGUAGAAUUAGCAAAAUUAGACUUCUCUGUCUCUGGCAACAAUAUGUUAACUUGCACCUAGGCUUCUUUACUGAUAUCUAGAAGAAAGAGGCAUGGCUUUAGAAAAACCUUCAAGCUAUUUCACGGAACAAGAAAGUCAGGACAGUGAGAUGUCCAGUUUUCCAUGGGCAGAAGUAAAAGGCAAGACCCUUCAGGAAACUCCAACAUGUAAGUCUACCGCCAGUGAGGACAUUCUAGUGAGGCUGCAGACCCUGGGAGGAUUGAUUAUUUUUAAAAAAAGUAAGUGGGGAUGUCAGAUGGCACAGUGGAUAAGGAUGUUUGCUGCUGAGCUUGACAAGCUGGGUUUAAGCCACCGUGGACCAGCAAGCUUAAUUCCCUUUCUUGCAGUAAGGAAAUAGGUAAGAGAAAGAAGAAACACAGUCUGUUCAGGACUGCACAUUCUGUAAUUCGGCCACAUGUACAAUUCUGGGCUGGGUGUGGUGGAGCAGGCCUAUGAUACCAGCUACUCAGGAGGCUGAGGCAGGAGUAGAAAAAGUUCAAGACUGGUGUCUCAGUGACUAAAAGCACUUGCAGAAGACCCAGGUUGAGCUCACAGGACCCACAUGGUGGUUUACAACUGCCUGUAACUCCAGUGCUAGGGGAUUCAGUGCCCUCUUACAGCCUCUGUAGAAGCCAGGCACACAGGUGGUGUGUAUACAUAACAUGUAGGCAAAAGCAUGAUCACUGAUCUAGGGCUCUUCUGUGUUUUCCCAGUGGAAUGUUUUCAAAUAGGCUCAUGUAUUUGAGUCCUUGGCCCCCAGCUGCUGGCACGGUUUUUGGAAGGUGGUUGAUUCUUUGGGAAUUGGAACCUCACUGGAGAAAGUGCAUCACUGAGGUUAGCAGUGGACAGUCGUUAACACAGAAACUCACAAGCAACCUAAAUGCAGAGACUGAUUGUCAGUGGAGUGCUCAGUCACAAAUGGGAAUUUAUAUCAUUGCUGCCCCAAGACUCAGGGACCAUCUUGGAAGAGGUGGUGGAAAGACUGUAAAGGCCUGAGGCUCACAACAGAUAAAGCUCACAAGAUCAAGCUAGUCUCUAUUCUAGCUUGGGAACAUAAACAAAGGCAUGGAAUAGAGUGGAUGUCAGUUCCAGAAAGAAGAGCCAGCUCUGAGGAAAGAGAAAGCUACCACACCGGCUGCCCUCUUUGCCACCUCCACAUUGACAAACCAGAAAUAAUGUGAAGAGGGAAAAUUCAGUGCUUUACUUUGCUGGGAUCUGGUGGGAGCCAUUGUGAUUCGAGGCCCUGCCAGUCUCAGGCUGGGCUAUCUUCUCUGCUCUGUAUUCAGUGACUCUUGUGAAGUUAUAAGAGAAAGAUGCUUGGUGACCAAAACCAGGCCAACUGUUUCCUAAGAUUGGAAUUAUGGAGGUCAGAAAAUGAUGCCUUAAAAAUGAGAACUUAAGGUGCAAUGACAGGUGUGUAACCAAGAUAUCCAGAUGGACAGCUUCACCCGUCCACCAAAUCCAUCGCACAGCCAGCUCCUCCCAGUCCACAUUUCCACCCCUCCCUGGACACUUUGCAUCCUCUGUGGCUUGUAUAUCAUCUUUAUAGGCUCAGAUCCUACAGCCUGGAUGACCCACUUUUCAUAUUGCCUAUCAGCUGCUUGGAACAGCAUUCAAGGAAGCAGGCCAAAGAGCCAUAAACUUCACGAACGGCUCGCUUUUUCUUGGUAUCAAUGAGCAGGGAAGUGGUGGACUGUGCUUAUCACCAGUGAAAUGGUUUCCAGGGCGUUUGUCAAAGCAACGGAAACAAAACUAGAACAGCUUCGCUUGCCCUGUGCCCACUGAGAUAGAUCUAUCCCUUUUGUUAACCCACGGAUCCAGUGUCACAUCAGAGAAGAGGACAGGCUGUGUGGAGCUGCAUCUACAAAAUGCAUGCCUCAGAUGCAUGCCUGAUGCCUAGAGAAGCCAGAAGAGGACACUGGGUCUUCUGGGACUGUAAUUGCAGACAGUUGUGAGCCACCAGGUGUGUGCUGAGAAUCAAACCGGGGUUCUCUGGAAGAGAAGCUGUGCUCCUAACCACUAACCUACCAGUUCUUUGUUACUUCUUUCCAUUACACUGAGGAGGAUGACCUUCUGAAACAGAAGAAGUCUUUUCUUUGGAAAUAGCAGACAAGUUGUUCUCUUUUCCUAAUAAAACACAAAUAGACUAUUACUUUGGGAAAUAUGGAUUUGUCUCUGAAAUAGUUUCGCAAGCCUGCUAGAAAUGUAAAGUUCUGUCAUUUAGACAGAGUGACCUGGCAAAAGUUACAGAGUUGAAGGUCACAGAGUGCCUUCAUCACAGCAAUUGUGGAAAUGCAUGUGAAUACUUGAAAAACUUCUAAAUUGAUAUGCCUAUAUCCUUUUAAAGUGUUGUUUAUUUAUUCUUAAAAAGUUUUAUAUAUGUAUACACAUACCCUGCUACUUAGUUUCAACUCUUUUUAGACAGCCCUAUUCUCUCUUUCUCCCUCUCAAAUUUAUGUCUUUUUUUUUUUUUAAAAAAAAAACUCAUUAACUCCAAUUAAUGAUUCUAGUAUGUGGAUGGGUGUAUUCUUACAACUGUGCAGUUUGGAGUAACAAUAGGUUGAAUGUAUUUCUAAUUUAUUUAGAAUAUUGAUAUCAUACACUAUUCCACACUGUGACAUUUCCAUGUUUGUCUUCAAUGUGUAUUGCACAACAUACACUACUGUCUGAUUAUAAGGUACCCCUGCUUCACAAUGCUCUUGAGACUGUUUUAUGGGGGGUGGUCGCUCCAUUGCUGUUUCUCCAACUCUGAGAAGAACGUCGACUCUAAUGAGCUUUCCUCAGAGUCUCCGCUUCAUGGAUUGG